AUUGAACGCUGGCGGCAGGCCUAACACAUGCAAGUCGAACGAGUGGCGGACGGGUGAGUAAUGUCUGGGAAACUGCCUGAUGGAGGGGGAUAACUACUGGAAACGGUAGCUAAUACCGCAUACCAUCGGAUGUGCCCAGAUGGGAUUAGCUAGUUGGUGGGGUAAAGGCUCACCAAGGCGACGAUCCCUAGCUGGUCUGAGAGGAUGACCAGCCACACUGGGACUGAGACACGGUCCAGACUCCUACGGGAGGCAGCAGUGGGGAAUAUUGCACAAUGGGCGCAAGCCUGAUGCAGCCAUGCCGCGUGUAUGAAGAAGGCCUUCGGGUUGUAAAGCACUUUCGGUAGCGAGGCGUUACCUGCAGAAGAAGCACCGGCUAACUCCGUGCCAGCCGCCGCGGUAAUUC
rnacentral:rRNA from 1 species